rnacentral:lncRNA from 1 species
CAUACAUGAAAUGAAACAUCAACCUCGGCCUCCUGCCACUGGUCCGUAUUAAGUCUGGCUUGAGUCUACCUGGAUGCUCCAACAUGAACAUCAUAACUGAGGUCAUCAAGUCUCUCGGUGAUAGGUAUCAUCCUCUUUAGCCUUGUAGGUUAAGAUUCCUUUCAAUCUCCCUGUAGUGACUCCAUCAAUCUUGAGGUCUUAGUCCUCAUACUCGAUGGAUGCAUCAUGACAUGCACUUACUUACUUUUAGUACUCUAAGUCAUCACCACAAGCACUUCUUCAAAAAGCGGUUCUUGAUCUCUGGUCCUCC